rnacentral:misc_RNA from 1 species
UCCCCGUUAACCGGGGCAGUCCCCCUAGAGUUCCCGGCAUGACCCGUUGGCAACUAGGGGCGAGGGUUGCGCUCGUUGUGGGACUUAACCCAACAUCUCACGACACGAGCUGACGACAGCCAUGCAGCAUCUGUGCGCGCUCCCUUGCGGGUCCUCGGCCUUUCGACUCCGUACCACGCGCAUGUCAAGCCCAGGUAAGGUUCUUCGCGUUGCGUCGAAUUAAACCACACGCUCCGCUGCUUGUGCGGGCCCCCGUCAAUUCCCUUGAGUUUUAGCCUUGCGGCCGUACUCCCCAGGCGGGGCACUUAGUGCGUUAGCGACGGCACGGGAGGAGUCGACACCUCCCACACCUAGUGCCCAUCGUUUAUGGCCAAGACUAC